rnacentral:sRNA from 1 species
UUUCUUGGCAUUCCCACCACGUGUUGCUAGAUCGAGGGAGAAAGAAUUAUAAAAACUUCAAAUAAAAAUGAUUUCCACGAAAGAAAUAAGUAAAACCGAAAUUCAACUAGAUGGCACUUACCAUGUCAAGCUCUGAAAGAUAGUCAUUAAACAAAGAAAUUUGGAAAUAUGUUUCUCGGAAACCUUGACAUUUUCUUUGAAAUCCCACAGAGGUGUCUUAGGUUGAGACUUCUGGGGACCAUAAUAGAAUCUUCCUAAGAAGACUGUUUUCUUGAUCUAACUCAAAAGAACUAUGGGAAAAUGGUUUAGAUAUUUGUGGUAACAAACCAAACGUUUUUAAACAUUCUUAAUUUUAUGGCAAGAAUAAAAAUGAAAGAAAGUGUGAUCUCAACUACCGACGAAUACUUCAAUAUUUGUAAGUAUUUUUAGAAAAAAUAAAGAAAUCCUAAUAAUUUUAAUGAUGAUAACUUAUGAUAGGGACAUCUGAUGUCUAUGACUGAUUUAUCAUGAUAGUAGAACUGAAAUUAUUUGUCAAAAUUGCUAUUGUUUACACUUAUACCUAUUUGAAUUAUA